rnacentral:tRNA from 1 species
GGCAGCGUUGCUCAGUGGAAAGAGUACGGGCUUGGAACUCAGAGGUCAUGGGUUUGAGUCCCGACUCUGCCA